CUCAAACCUCUUGUGUUUCAGCUGUUACUCUUAAUGCUUCUAUCACAAGUUACCAUCUCACUGGACUGAAGGAAAAGACCACCUAUCGUGUGCAGAUUUCAGGAUUCACUAAUGCUGGAGAAGGAGCUCUGACUCUUUCACAACCUUUCAGCACUCCAAAAUACGAUAAAGGAGAACUUGAAGGUUUUGUGAUUGGCCUUUGUUUCACCAUGAUACUCAUUCUGGUUUUUGCACCUCUCACUUGUUCUCUGGUGAUUAAAAGGCUGAAAAUAUCAUAUUGGCGCAGUGUACCCACCCCAGGAAACAGCACUGCACUCCAAGACAUGACUAAUUGGAAACAUGUUUCAAGGUCACUGCUUCAGGCCCUGUCAGACAAUGAUACCACCAGCCUUUUCAUCAUAGAGCACGAAUCAAAGGUUCCUCUGACGCUAGACCUCUCCACAGAUGGUGGAGAAGACAACAAGCAUGACACCUGCCAGUCAGAGAAACCUAGCAAUAACACAGUUAUGAGCCCAAGGCAUGAACAAAUCCCUGCAGAAGCAGUUACAAGUGAAGAAGACACCAUUUCCACGGAAGUACCACUCUUGAGUGACUAUGCCAGCAUGGAGUUUAGUCAGAAAGCCCUGAUGAGUCUGGCAGUGAGCACACCUGAAAAAACUGCUCAUCCUCAUCUGAAAAUGGAACUAAGCAGCAAGCCAGCACAAACUGUGCAGAAGGUUUUGUUUGCUUCCCAGGACUACCUCAAACAAAGCCAGGUGGUACUUCUGCCAUCUGGACCAAAUUUCAUGGGACAAGCCAACUAACUAAACCUGAAGCAUCUUCAUUAUUUUCCUUACCAUAAAAUGAAGUUCCAAAUCUUGUUGUACUUCAGUGGGACCACCAGGACCAUAUGGGACAGUAAGCUUGUGACAAUAGUUAUCUCCACUAUAGUAAGUUUCCUUGGCGAAAUAGAUUGAUUGUAUUAUUAGAUUAGCUAUUUCACCACAGUCAUCCAGAGGAAAGUCCCACCAUCUUCACACAGGCAAAGCUUUUAGGGACUUACAUGAAAAAUCUUUCAGUAAAGUACCUCUUGCUUGGUAUUUUGUUCCAGGGCAUUCAGGAGCCAUUCAAGGCUUCCACUCUAAGCACAAUGUCAUUGUAGAUAUCAGAAAAAUUCUCUACUCAAUAUGACCAGCUUCAGAUCUGAUUUUCAGAUCCAGUAAGUUUCUUCACCAAAAAUAAAUUAGAGCAAAAGUAUCUACCA
rnacentral:lncRNA from 1 species